rnacentral:rRNA from 1 species
GCGGACGGGUGAGUAACACGUGGGUAACCUACCCAUCACAGGGGGAUAACACUUGGAAACAGGUGCUAAUACCGCAUAACAGUUUAUGCCGCAUGGCAUAAGAGUGAAAGGCGCUUUCGGGUGUCGCUGAUGGAUGGACCCGCGGUGCAUUAGCUAGUUGGUGAGGUAACGGCUCACCAAGGCCACGAUGCAUAGCCGACCUGAGAGGGUGAUCGGCCACACUGGGACUGAGACACGGCCCAGACUCCUACGGGAGGCAGCAGUAGGGAAUCUUCGGCAAUGGACGAAAGUCUGACCGAGCAACGCCGCGUGAGUGAAGAAGGUUUUCGGAUCGUAAAACUCUGUUGUUAGAGAAGAACAAGGACGUUAGUAACUGAACGUCCCCUGACGGUAUCUAACCAGAAAGCCACGGCUAACUACGUGCCAGCAGCCGCGGUAAUACGUAGGUGGCAAGCGUUGUCCGGAUUUAUUGGGCGUAAAGCGAGCGCAGGCGGUUUCUUAAGUCUGAUGUGAAAGCCCCCGGCUCAACCGGGGAGGGUCAUUGGAAACUGGGAGACUUGAGUGCAGAAGAGGAGAGUGGAAUUCCAUGUGUAGCGGUGAAAUGCGUAGAUAUAUGGAGGAACACCAGUGGCGAAAGGCGGGCUCUUCUGGUCUGUAAACUGACGCUGAGGCUCGAAAGCGUGGGGAGGCAAACAGGAUUAGAUACCCUGGUAGUCCACGCCGUAAACGAUGAGUGCUAAGUGUUGGAGGGUUUCCGCCCUUCAGUGCUGCAGCAAACGCAUUAAGCACUCCGCCUGGGGAGUACGACCGCAAGGUUGAAACUCAAAGGAAUUGACGGGGGCCCGCACAAGCGGAGGAGCAUGUGGUUUAAUUCGAAGCAACGCGAAGAACCUUACCAGGUCUUGACAUCCUUUGACCACUCUAGAGAUAGAGCUUUCCCUUCGGGGACAAAGUGACAGGUGGUGCAUGGUUGUCGUCAGCUCGUGUCGUGAGAUGUUGGGUUAAGUCCCGCAACGAGCGCAACCCUUAUUGUUAGUAGCCAUCAUUUAGUUGGGCACUCUAGCGAGACUGCCGGUGACAAACCGGAGGAAGGUGGGGAUGACGUCAAAUCAUCAUGCCCCUUAUGACCUGGGCUACACACGUGCUACAAUGGGAAGUACAACGAGUCGCUAGACCGCGAGGUCAUGCAAAUCUCAUAAAGCUUCUCUCAGUUCGGAUUGCAGGCUGCAACUCGCCUGCAUGAAGCCGGAAUCGCUAGUAAUCGCGGAUCA